GAUGAAGAACGCAGCAAAAUGCGAUAAGUAAUGUGAAUUGCAGAAUUCAGUGAAUCAUCGAAUCUUUGAACGCACAUUGCGCCCGCUGGUAUUCCGGCGGGCAUGCCUGUUCGAGCGUCAUUUCAACCCUCAAGCCCCCGGGUUUGGUGUUGGGGAUCGGCUCUGCCCUUCUGGGCGGUGCCGCCCCCGAAAUACAUUGGCGGUCUCGCUGCAGCCUCCAUUGCGUAGUAGCUAACACCUCGCAACUGGAACGCGGCGCGGCCAUGCCGUAAAACCCCAACUUCUGAAUGUUGACCUCGGAUCAGGUAGGAUUACCCGCUGAACUUAAGCAUAUCAAUAAGCGGAGGA
rnacentral:misc_RNA from 1 species